rnacentral:lncRNA from 1 species
GCGAAACUACUAGGAUGGAGGAAACGACGGACGUGGAUGCAAAUACAAGGAUUUCAUGGCAUCCAAACCAACGAGUCUAUCCGGAAGCCCGACGCCGGUGGAAGUUAUGAACUGGAUCUCCGAAAUGGAGACAAUGUUUGAGAGUUGCGAGUCUAGCAACAGACAGAAAAUCGCUCUUGAAAUCUGGAGUACUGAGCUGGGGGAAGCUACUAGCUGAUUCUAUGCCUAAGGGAGAAGCUAGUAAGAAGUCUUUGCAGGAUUUUCUGGUGCAAUUGAAGAUACAAUACUGCUCUGAGCAGGAUCUUGUGGAAAUCAACAAUGGGUUCCAAAAUUUGAAGAAGGGAAGAAUGAGCGUUAUAGAAUACGCUGCAAGCUUUACGGAAAAGAUGAAGCCGGUUCCUUACCUAGUCCCAACCGAACUCUCCAAGGUUAACAAGUUUUCCCAUGGAUUACCAGCAGACUUUUGUCGAAUGGUCAAGCAAGCAACCACUUUGAAAACCGCUAUCUAGGCAGCCAGGAAUGUUGAGACCCAGAUUAAGGAAAGGGGUCUGGAGAGAGCUGAAUUUGGCGAGAGAAGGAAGCAUGAAGGAUCUUCAAAAUCCAACAAAGAAAGGAAAUUCUCAAAGACUGAUGAAGGAGGAGGAGGUGAAGCCAAGUGGUGUGAGAAGUGUUAAAAGAAGCACUUCAGGAAAUGUAGCGAGGAGGUGACUUGCUACAAACGUGGAAAUACAGGGCAUUACACUGAGAGAUUAAGGAGAUGGAAAUCACUAGUAAUAAUGAAUGUAAAUUCUGUUUAUGCUUAUGUUUCUGUAUUGACGAUGACAUCCCAAAUGUUUUAAAAUGAAUAAAAAUACUUUUCUUUGGAAAUGCUUUGAUAAUCAAAUUAUCAAAUUUUUCGUGGAACAAAUUCCGCAACGUUUUUAUUAAAAGUGAUACUCUGAUUUUUAUAAAGCAUAAACAGAAUCGGUCUUUUCUGGCUGUGAAAACUGGGAUGUCACAAUCUGUACCAGAGCAUUAGUUUAAGCGAACUAGGAAUAUGGAUUUAUUUCUAGACUUAAAAUUAGAAUGCUAAGCAAUGAUUGUGAGGAGUGUGUCUUAGGUAAUACACAUAAAUAGACACAAUCACUAGCUUAUUUAGGGAAAACGCCUAACAUGCUUUUAUGUGCUAAAUGAUUUAUGAUGAUUUAUGAUGCAAAAUGUAUGAUCGGAACUAUGGUCUGUUGCCGACCGGAUCUGGAAAUUUUACGUGUACUGAUUUGUAAACGUUUAAUUAUGUUAUUAGAACUGGCAUGUAACUUUUCGGCGUAAUAAGAAGAUUUACCCGUCAAUCGUAAAUAAAAUCUUUCCUAUCUUAAUUCUUGUCAUUUCGCACCGAACAUCUGAUCUGGUGUAUAGAUCAAAAUGGCUAGAACCCGAAGUGGAGACGGGAACGCGAAUGGAGAUAGGAAUCAACAGCCCCUAGUGGCUGAACAAAUACAUGUUGUAGUAACCGCACCUGAGCCAAUCACGAUGGUCGGGGUACAAGCGAUGAUCCAAAUGAUGUUGGAUCGUCAAAUGGAGGAAACAAGGCGUUUACUUCAACAAAACCGAGAAGAACGUACGGUACCAAUUGAACAGCCCGAGCUGAAUGAUGGGCAGUCAGAAGGAGAAAACUACAGUGGGACCAUUGGUCAAGCCAACCCACCGAUAGUUAGGCGAAACUACUAGGAUGGAGCAAACGACGGACGUGGAUGCAAAUACAAGGAUUUCAUGGCAUCCAGACCACCGAGUCUAUCCGGAAGCCCGACGCCGGUGGAAGUUAUGGACUGGAUCUCCGAGAUGGCGACAAUGUUUGAGAGUUGCGAGUGUAGCAACAGACAGAAAACCGCUGUUGAAAUCUGGAGUACUGAGCUGGGCGAAGCUACUAGUUGAUUCUAUGCCUAAGGGAGAAGCUAGUAAGAAGUCUUUGGAGGAUUUUCUGGUGCAACUGAAGAUGCAAUACUUCUCUGAGCAGGAUCUUGUGGAGAUCAACAAUGGGUUCCAAAAUUUGAAGAUGGGAAGAAUGAGCGUUAUAGAAUAAACUGCAUGCUUUACGGAAAAGAUGAAGCCGGUUCCUUACCUAGUCCCAACCGAACUCUCCAAGGUUAACAAGUUUGCCCAUGGAUUACCAGCAGACUUUUGUCGAAUGGUCAAGCAAGCAACCACUUUGAAAGCCGCCAUCUGGGCAGCCCGGAAUGUUGAGACCCAGAUUAAGGAAAGGGGUCUGGAGAGAGCUGAAUUUGGCGAGAAAAGAAAGCAUGAAGGAUCUUCAAAAUCAAAAAAAGAAAGGAAAUUCUCAAAGACUGAUGAAGGAGAAGGAGGUGAAUCCAAGUGGUGUGAGAAGUGUAAAAAGAAGCACUUCAGGAAAUGUAGCGAGGAGGUGACUUGCUACAAAUGUGGAAAUACAGGGCAUUACACUGAGAGAUUAAGGAGAUGGAAAUCACUAGUAAUAAUGAAUGUAAGUUCUGUUUAUGCUUAUGUUUUUGUAUUGACGAUGACAUCCCAAAUGUUUUAAAAUGAAUAAAAAUACUUUUCUUUGGAAAUGCUUUGAUAAUGAAAUUAUCAUAUUUUUCUGGGAACAAAUUCCGCAACGUUUUUAUUAAAAGAGAUACUCUGAUUUUUAUAAAGCAUAAACAAAAUCGGUCUUUUCUGGCUGUGAAAAUGGGGAUGUCACAGUUGGUACCAGAGCAUUAGUUUAAGCGAACUAGGAAUAUGGAUUUAUUUCUAGACAUAAACUUAGAAUGCUAAGCAAUGAUUGUGAGGAGUGUGUCUUAGGNUGUACCCGAGCAUUAGUUUAAGCGAACUAGGAAUAUGGAUUUAUUUCUAGACUUAAAAUUAGAAUGCUAAGCAAUGAUUGUGAGGAGUGUGGCUUAGGUAAUACACAUAAAUAGACACAAUCACUAGCUUAUUUAGGGAAUACGCCUAACAUGCUUUUAUGUGCUAAAUGAUUUAUGAUGCUUUAUGACGCUAAAUGUAUGAUCGGAUCUAUGGUCUGUUGCUGACCGGAUCUGGAAAUUUUACGUGUACAGAUUUCUAAACGUUUAAUUAUGUUAUUAGAACUGGCAUGUAACUUUUCGGCGUAAAAAGAAGAUUUACCCGUCAAUCGUAAAUAAAAUCUUUCCUAUCUUAAUUCUUGUCAUUUCGCACCGAACAUCUGAUCUGGUGUAUAGAUCAAAAUGGCUAGAACCCGAAGUGGAGUCGGGAACGCGAAUGGAGAUAGGAAUCAACAGCCCCUAGUGGCUGAACAAAUACCUGUUGUAGUAACCGCACCUGAGCCAAUCACGAUGGUCGGGGUACAAGCGAUGAUCCAAAUGAUGUUGGAUCGUCAAAUGGAGGAAACAAGGCGUUUACUUCAACAAAACCGAGAAGAACGUACGGUACCAAUUGAACAGCCCGAGCUGAAUGAUGGGCAGUCAGAAGGAGAAAACUACAGUGGGACCAUUGGUCAANCCACCGAUAGUUAGGCGAAACUAAUAGGAUGGCGGAAACGACGGACGUGGAUGCAAAUACAAGGAUUUCAUUGCAUCCAAACCAUCGAGUCUAUCUGGAAGCCCGACGCCGGUGGAAGUCAUAAACUGGAUCUCCGAGAUGGAGACGAUGUUUGAGAGNUCAAGCAAGCAACCACUUUGAAAGCCGCCAUCUGGGCAGCCCGGAAUGUUGAGACCCAGAUUAAGGAAAGGGGUCUGGAGAGAGCUGAAUUUGGCGAGAAAAGAAAGCAUGAAGGAUCUUCAAAAUCAAAAAAAGAAAGGAAAUUCUCAAAGACUGAUGAAGGAGAAGGAGGUGAAUCCAAGUGGUGUGAGAAGUGUAAAAAGAAGCACUUCAGGAAAUGUAGCGAGGAGGUGACUUGCUACAAAUGUGGAAAUACAGGGCAUUACACUGAGAGAUUAAGGAGAUGGAAAUCACUAGUAAUAAUGAAUGUAAGUUCUGUUUAUGCUUAUGUUUUUGUAUUGACGAUGACAUCCCAAAUGUUUUAAAAUGAAUAAAAAUACUUUUCUUUGGAAAUGCUUUGAUAAUGAAAUUAUCAUAUUUUUCUGGGAACAAAUUCCGCAACGUUUUUAUUAAAAGAGAUACUUUGAUUUUUAUAAAGCAUAAACAAAAUCGGUCUUUUCUAGCUGUGAAAAUGGGGAUGUCACAGUUGGUACCACAACAUUAGUUUAAGCGAACUAGGAAUAUGGAUUUAUUUCUAGACUUAAACUUAGAAUACUAAGCAAUGAUUGUGAGGAGUGUGUCUUAGGUAAUACACCUAAAUAGACACAAGCACUAGCUUAUUUACGGAAAACGCCUAACAUGCUUUUAUGUGCUAAAUGAUUUAUGAUGCUAAAUGUAUGAUCGGAUCUAUGGUCUGUUGCCGACCGGAUCUGGAAAUUUUAUGUGUCCAGAUUUCUAAACGUUUAAUUAUGUUAUUAGAACUGGCAUGUAACUUUUCGGCGUAAUAAGAAGACUUACCUGUCAAUCGUAAAUAAAAUCUUUCCUAUCUUAAUUCUCGUCAUUUCGCACCGAACAUCUGAUCUGGUGUAUAGAUCAAAAUGGCUAGAACCCGAAGAGGAGUCGGGAACGUGAAUGGAGAUAGGAAUCAAUAGCCCCUAGUGGCUGAACAAAUACGUGUUGUAGUAACCGCACCUGAGCCAAUAACGAUGGUCGGGGUACAAGCGAUGAUCCAAAUGAUGUUGGAUCGUCAAAUGGAGGAAACAAGGUGUUUACUUCAACAGAACCAAGAAGAACUUACGGUACCAAUUGAACAGCCCGAGCUGAAUGAUGGGCAGUCAGAAGGAGAAAACUACAGUGGAACUGUUGGUCAAGCCAACCCACCGAUAGUUAGGCGAAACUACUAGGAUGGAGGAAACGACGGACGUGGAUGCAAAUACAAGGAUUUCAUGGCAUCCAAACCAACGAGUCUAUCCGGAAGCCCGACGCCGGUGGAAGUUAUGAACUGGAUCUCCGAAAUGGAGACAAUGUUUGAGAGUUGCGAGUCUAGCAACAGACAGAAAAUCGCUCUUGAAAUCUGGAGUACUGAGCUGGGGGAAGCUACUAGCUGAUUCUAUGCCUAAGGGAGAAGCUAGUAAGGAGUCUUUGGAGGAUUUUCUGGUGCAACUGGAGAUGCAAUACUGCUCUGAGCAGGAUCUUGUGGAGAUCAACAAUGGGUUCCAAAAUUUGAAGAAAGGAAGAAUGAGCGUUAUAGAAUACGCUGCAAGCUUUACGGAAAAAAUGAAGCCGGUUCCUUACCUAGUCCCAACCGAACUCUCCAAGGUUAACAAGUUUGCCCAUGGAUUACGAGCAGACUUUUGUCGAAUGGUCAAGCAAGAAACCACUUUGAAAGCCGCCAUCUGGGCAGCCAGGAAUGUUGAGACCCAGAUUAAGGAAACGGGUCUGGAGAGAGCUGAAUUUGGCGAGAAAAGGAAGCAUGAAGGAUCUUCAAAAUCCAACAAAGAAAGGAAAUUCUCAAAGACUGAUGAAGGAGGAGGAGGUGAAGCCAAGUGGUGUGAGAAGUGUAAAAAGAAGCACUUCAGGAAAUAUAGCGUGGAGUUGACUUGGUACAAAUGUGGAAAUACAGGGCAUUACACUGAGAGAUUAAGGAGAUGGAAAUCACUAGUAAUAAUGAAUGUAAGUUCUGUUUAUGCUUAUGUUUCUGUAUUGACGAUGACAUCCCAAAUGUUUUAAAAUGAAUAAAAAUACUUUUGUUUGGAAAUUCUUUGAUAAUGAAAUUAUCAUAUUUUUCUGGGAACAAAUUCCG